GACGAAUGCUGGCUGCGUGCUUAACACAUGCAAGUCGAACGGUGAAGGGGAGCUUGCUCCCCGGAUCAGUGGCGAACGGGUGAGUAACACGUGGGCAACCUGCCCCCCACUCUGGGAUAACUCCGGGAAACCGGGGCUAAUACCGGAUACGACCGGGAGCGACAUCGCUCCUGGUGGAAAGCACUUCGGUGAGGGAUGGGCCCGCGGCCUAUCAGCUAGUUGGUGGGGUAACGGCCCACCAAGGCGACGCCGGGUAGCCGGCCUGAGAGGGCGACCGGCCACACUGGGACUGAGACACGGCCCAGACUCCUACGGGAGGCAGCAGUGGGGAAUAUUGCGCAAUGGGCGAAAGCCUGACGCAGCGACGCAGCGUGAGGGACGAAGGCCUUCGGGUUGUAAACCUCUUUCAGCGGGGACGAAGCGAAAGUGACGGUACCCGCAGAAGAAGCACCGGCUAACUACGUGCCAGCAGCCGCCGUAA
rnacentral:rRNA from 1 species